rnacentral:tRNA from 4 species
CGGAGCGUAGCUUAGCUUGGUAGAGCGCCUGCUUUGGGAGCAGGAGGUCGCAGGUUCGAAUCCUGUCGCUCCGA